GACGUAGGAGGCGAGCGUUGUCCGGAUUUACUGAGCGUAAAGCGCGCGCAGGCGGUCGCGCAGGUCAUCUGUGAAAGCCCCCGGCUCAACCGGGCGGAUGCGGGUGAAACCGCGCGACUGGAGGGUGGGAGAGGUCGGCGGAAUUCCCGGUGUAGUGGUGAAAUGCGUAGAUAUCGGGAGGAACACCCGUAGCGAAGGCGGCCGACUGGACCACACCUGACGCUGAGGCGCGAAGGCCAGGGGAGCGAACGGG
rnacentral:rRNA from 1 species